rnacentral:rRNA from 1 species
AUCUUAGACAAUGGGGGAAACCCUGAUCUAGCCAUGCCGCGUGAGUGACGAAGGCCCUAGGGUCGUAAAGCUCUUUCGCCGGGGAAGAUAAUGACGGUACCCGGUAAAGAAGUCCCGGCUAACUCCGUGCCAGCAGCCGCGGUAAUACGGAGGGGACUAGCGUUGUUCGGAAUUACUGGGCGUAAAGCGCGCGUAGGCGGAUCAGCAAGUUAGGGGUGAAAUCCCGGGGCUCAACCCCGGAACUGCCCUUAAAACUGUUGGUCUUGAGUUCGAGAGAGGUGAGUGGAAUUCCGAGUGUAGAGGUGAAAUUCGUAGAUAUUCGGAGGAACACCAGUGGCGAAGGCGGCUCACUGGCUCGAUACUGACGCUGAGGUGCGAAAGCGUGGGGAGCAAACAGG